UACAUGGGGUGCAAACGUUGCUCGGAAUUAUUGGGCGUAAAGCGCGCGUAGGCGGUUUUUUAAGUCAGGGGUGAAAUCCUGGAGCUCAACUCCAGAACUGCCCUUGAUACUGAAGAUCUUGAGUUCGGGAGAGGUGAGUGGAACUGCGAGUGUAGAGGUGAAAUUCGUAGAUAUUCGCAAGAACACCAGUGGCGAAGGCGGCUCACUGGCCCGAUACUGACGCUGAGGCACGAAAGCGUGGGGAGCAAACAGG
rnacentral:rRNA from 1 species